rnacentral:rRNA from 1 species
GACGAACGCUGGCGGCGUGCUUAACACAUGCAAGUCGAACGGAAAGGCCCUGCUUUUGUGGGGUGCUCGAGUGGCGAACGGGUGAGUAACACGUGAGUAACCUGCCCUUGACUUUGGGAUAACUUCAGGAAACUGGGGCUAAUACCGGAUAGGAGCUCCUGCUGCAUGGUGGGGGUUGGAAAGUUUCGGCGGUUGGGGAUGGACCCGCGGCUUAUCAGCUUGUUGGUGGGGUAGUGGCUUACCAAGGCUUUGACGGGUAGCCGGCCUGAGAGGGUGACCGGCCACCUUGGGACUGCGAUACGGCCCAGACUCCUACGGGAGGCAGCGGUGGGGAAUAUUGCGCACUGGGCGGAAGCCUGAUGCAGCAACGCCGCGUGCGGGAUGACGGCCUUCGGGUUGUAAUCCGCUUUCGCCUGUGACGAUGCGUGAGUGACGGUAAUGGGUAAAGAAGCACCGGCUAACUACGUG